rnacentral:lncRNA from 1 species
AAAAAGAAGAAGAUGAAGAUGAAAAUUUAAAAAUAAAAGUGAGUGAAGAGGAGAAAGAGAUUGAAAAAAAAUUGAAAGAAAAAAAUAAAACGAAAGUGAAAAAGAAAAAGAGCCUGAAAAGAAAUCGAGUAAAAAAAAAGAGAGCCUGUAAAAGAAACGAGUGAAGAGAGUAAUCACGAAAAAGAGAGGAAUUCUUUUGCUAACCCCCUUUCGGAAUUACCUUGUGAUUUUUCUUUGUUUCAGGUUUGCAAGAUUC